GAGUUUGAUCCUGGCUCAGAUUGAACGCUGGCGGCAUGCCUUACACAUGCAAGUCGAACGGCAGCACGGGUGCUUGCACCUGGUGGCGAGUGGCGAACGGGUGAGUAAUACAUCGGAACAUGUCCUGUAGUGGGGGAUAGCCCGGCGAAAGCCGGAUUAAUACCGCAUACGAUCUACGGAUGAAAGCGGGGGACCUUCGGGCCUCGCGCUAUAGGGUUGGCCGAUGGCUGAUUAGCUAGUUGGUGGGGUAAAGGCCUACCAAGGCGACGAUCAGUAGCUGGUCUGUGAGGACGACCAGCCACACUGGGACUGAGACACGGCCCAGACUCCUACGGGAGGCAGCAGUGGGGAAUUUUGGACAAUGGGCGAAAGCCUGAUCCAGCAAUGCCGCGUGUGUGAAGAAGGCCUUCGGGUUGUAAAGCACUUUUGUCCGGAAAGAAAUCCUUGGCUCUAAUACAGUCGGGGGAUGACGGUACCGGAAGAAUAAGCACCGGCUAACUACGUGCCAGCAGCCGCGGUAAUACGUAGGGUGCGAGCGUUAAUCGGAAUUACUGGGCGUAAAGCGUGCGCAGGCGGUUUGCUAAGACCGAUGUGAAAUCCCCGGGCUCAACCUGGGAACUGCAUUGGUGACUGGCAGGCUAGAGUAUGGCAGAGGGGGGUAGAAUUCCACGUGUAGCAGUGAAAUGCGUAGAGAUGUGGAGGAAUACCGAUGGCGAANGCAGCCCCCUGGGCCAAUACUGACGCUCAUGCACGAAAAGCGCGGGAAGCAACAGGAUUAGAUACCCUGGUAGUCCACGCCCUAAACGAUNGUCACUAGUUGUUGGGGAUUUCAUUUCCUUAGUAACGUAGCUACGCGUGAAGUUGACCGCCUGGGGAGUACGGUCGCAAGAUUAAACUCAAAGGAAUUGACGGGGACCCGCACAAGCGGUGGAUGAUGUGGAUUAAUUCGAUGCAACGCGAAAAACCUUACCUACCCUUGACAUGGUCGGAAUCCUGCUGAGAGGCGGGAGUGCUCGAAAGAGAACCGGCGCACAGGUGCUGCAUGGCUGUCGUCAGCUCGUGUCGUGAGAUGUUGGGUUAAGUCCCGCAACGAGCGCAACCCUUGUCCUUAGUUGAUACGCAAGAGCACUCUAAGGAGACUGCCGGUGACAAACCGGAGGAAGGUGGGGAUGACGUCAAGUCCUCAUGGCCCUUAUGGGUAGGGCUUCACACGUCAUACAAUGGUCGGAACAGAGGGUUGCCAACCCGCGAGGGGGAGCUAAUCCCAGAAAACCGAUCGUAGUCCGGAUUGCACUCUGCAACUCGAGUGCAUGAAGCUGGAAUCGCUAGUAAUCGCGGAUCAGCAUGCCGCGGUGAAUACGUCCCCGGGUCUUGUACACACCGCCCGUCACACCAUGGGAGUGGGUUUUACCAGAAGUGGCUAGUCUAACCGCAAGGAGGACGGUCACCACGGUAGGAUUCAUGACUGGGGUGAAGUCGUAACAAGGUA
rnacentral:rRNA from 1 species